rnacentral:lncRNA from 1 species
GCCGGAGCUCAGAGGCCCUGGGGCCGCUCUGCUCUCCCGCCAUCGCAAGGGCGGCGCUGACCUGAGGCCUCCCCGCAAAGGUCCCCGAGGCGGCGGCGGCGGCGGGCUGUGAGAACCGCAGAAGAACGCUGGGCGCGCAGCGACCCGUCCACCCCCGCGAGGAGAGACUUCCACAGAGGCAGCGUUUCCACAGCCCAAAGCCACGUUUCUAGGGUGAUGCAGCCCCAGUAAGUUCCUGGCGGGGAAGCUCACGGCUGUCAAAAGAACUCUUCGCUCCAGCCGGCGCACGAAGGGGAGGAGGGCAGGAGGCUGCCGCCCGCACAGGUCAUCUGAUCACGUCGCCCGCCCUAGUCUGCUUUUGUGAAUCUCCACUUUGUUCAACCCCCACCCGCCGUCUCUCCCUCCCUGCGCCUUCCCUCUAACCUUAAAGACCCAGCUACCUCUACGCAAAUGGUAGCUACCUCUGCGCAGGUGGAAGUUGAGUUCGGUUCACGCGGGACCCUCUUCCCUGUGGCAAGCUGCUGAAGGAGACCUGCUGUUACUGCUUUAGCUGCUGUUCUGCUUAAUCUCAGACAGCUGGAAGAAGGUUGCUCCGGAUCUCGCCAUCUGGCCUGCGUUCAAUCAGCAGAAGCUUCCUGGAGGAGCAGGAGGAGGCACUGUGCUCGCAUCACAUACCAGUGGCCAGAAGUUGGCUUCAGGGAAGCUCAGGAAAUAGGAUGCGAGAAGCCAUGAGACCUCCCCAAACUCUGCAGUAACAGAGUCAACAAGACAAUGGCUUAAAGAUGGAGAGACCAGUUGAUCGGUCACACAAGCUGUUCCACGAUAAUUCUUGUGUCAGAAGGGGAGGCUGACUACCAGGACCACUGGCCCCACUUCCAGCCCCUCCAUUCUGAGUACACUUCAGAGGGCUCUGGCAGGGUGAGGGGGUCUUGGUGGUGCCACAGAGAGUAAAGGUCUAGCACACCCAUUGUGGAGAUAUUUC